rnacentral:rRNA from 1 species
UCGGGAAUUUUGGGCAAUGGGCGAAAGCCUGACCCAGCAACGCCGCGUGAAGGAUGAAGUAUUUCGGUAUGUAAACUUCGAAAGAAUAGGAAGAAUAAAUGACGGUACUAUUUAUAAGGUCCGGCUAACUACGUGCCAGCAGCCGCGGUAAUACGUAGGGACCAAGCGUUGUUCGGAUUUACUGGGCGUAAAGGGCGCGUAGGCGGCAAUUCAAGUCAUCUGUGAAAUCUCCGGGCUUAACUCGGAACGGUCAGAUGAUACUGCUUUGCUAGAGUGCAGAAGGGGCAAUCGGAAUUCUCGGUGUAGCGGUGAAAUGCGUAGAUAUCAAGAGGAACACCUGAGGUGAAGACGGGUUGCUGGGCUGACACUGACGCUGAGGCGCGAAAGCCAGGGGAGCAAACGGGAUUAGAUACCCCUGUAGUCCCUGAGCGGGCUGGCAAGGCGCAU